CCUACGGGAGGCAGCAGUAGGGAAUCUUCCACAAUGGGCGCAAGCCUGAUGGAGCAACACCGCGUGAGUGAAGAAGGGUUUCGGCUCGUAAAGCUCUGUUGUUGGAGAAGAACGUGCGUGAGAGUAACUGUUCACGCAGUGACGGUAUCCAACCAGAAAGUCACGGCUAACUACGUGCCAGCAGCCGCGGUAAUACGUAGGUGGCAAGCGUUGGCCGGUUUUAUUGGGCGGAAGGCGAGCACGGGCGGUUGCUUAGGGCUGAUGUGAAAGCCUUCGGCUUAACCGAAGAAGUGCAUCGGAAACCGGGAAACUUGAGUGCAGAAGAGGACAGUGGAACUCCAUGUGUAGCGGUGGAAUGCGUAGAUAUAUGGAAGAACACCAGUGGCGAAGGCGGCUGGCUGGUCUGCAACUGACGCUGAGGCUCGAAAGCAUGGGUAGCGAACAGGAUUAGAUACCCGGGUAGUC
rnacentral:rRNA from 1 species